rnacentral:rRNA from 1 species
CCUACGGGGGGCAGCAGUGAGGAAUAUUGGUCAAUGGGCGCAAGCCUGAACCAGCCAAGUCGCGUGAGGGAAGACGGCCCUACGGGUUGUAAACCUCUUUUGCCGGGGAGCAAGCCUGAGCACGUGUGCCCAGGCGGAGAGUACCCGGAGAAAAAGCAUCGGCUAACUCCGUGCCAGCAGCCGCGGUAAUACGGAGGAUGCGAGCGUUAUCCGGAUUUACUGGGUGUAAAGGGAGCGUAGACGGUUAUGUAAGUCUGGAGUGAAAGCCCGGGGCCCAACCCCGGGACUGCUUUGGAAACUGUGUAACUGGAGUACAGGAGGGACAGGCGGAAUUCCUGGUGUAGCGGUGAAAUGCGUAGAUAUCAGGAGGAACACCGGCGGCGAAGGCGGCCUGCUGGACUGAAACUGACGUUGAGGCUCGAAAGCGUGGGGAGCAAACAGGAUUAGAUACCCCAGUAGUC